GCUCCUUACGUCUUUCGCGAUUUUCCCGCGAAAAAAGCCCAACCAAAAUGAAAGGAAAACUAAUUGAAAAAACGAUGCCCAUGCCAUAAUUUUGUACAGGAAUAUAGAGUAGGUUAAUGAAAAAUAAUUUACAUUUAUUUUUCAUAGAAUUUUCUUUUUAUUCAUUAUAAAAAGAUCGAUAUUCUGACCAUCAUGACUGUAGAUAAAUAUUCAUACAGAAUUCCAUUGAUGUCAAAAGGGAUGGCAAAAAAAGAGUUUUCCUGUUGAAUAAAACCCAAAAUUAUUGCAAACUAUUUUGAAGCAAUAUCCCACAAAGAAAUAACGUAAUUGCCGUAGACUGGAAAAUCCCCUAAUUGUCAGUAGAGCAAUUUGAUUGGGUAGAACGAAUUGACACACGGAUUUUGACGCCAUUGAAAUUUAAAUGUAAACAAACAAGGUCAGAGGGUUCAGUAUGGGACAGCAUCGUACAUUUAGUUACUGACAAAUAAUUAUGAGUUACCAAGCUUGACAAUGCAUGGUAAUAAAAAAUGAAAGCUAAGUGUACUGAAAAAAUAAGAAAAAAAUAGCCUUAAGAUAACGACUUAUCAUUACACCUGGAUAGAUAAGAGUUGUUUUUCGGUCAAAAUGUAGGAUGUAAGAUUGUACAACAAUUGCUAAAAAUAAUAGUUUGACAUGGACUUACCCUGACAUAUUAUUUAAAGGAAUACUUCCAGCAUUUUGUUGGUUCACACCUGCAAUUUCCCAGGGUUUAGGAGGUGCUGCCAUGCCCCCAUGGGUUGAAACGGGUGGUUGAGAAAGUUG
rnacentral:lncRNA from 1 species